UACGUAGGGUGCGAGCGUUAAUCGGAAUUACUGGGCGUAAAGCGUGCGCAGGCGGUGAUGUAAGACAGGUGUGAAAUCCCCGGGCUUAACCUGGGAACUGCAUUUGUGACUGCAUCGCUGGAGUGCGGCAGAGGGGGAUGGAAUUCCGCGUGUAGCAGUGAAAUGCGUAGAUAUGCGGAGGAACACCGAUGGCGAAGGCAGCCUCCUGGGCCAACACUGACGCUCAUGCACGAAAGCGUGGGGAGCAAACAGG
rnacentral:rRNA from 1 species